rnacentral:rRNA from 1 species
AGAGGUGCUUGCACCUCUGGCGUCGAGCGGCGGACGGGUGAGUAAUGCUUGGGAAUAUGCCUUAUGGUGGGGGACAACAGUUGGAAACGACUGCUAAUACCGCAUGAUGUCUACGGACCAAAGUGGGGGACCUUCGGGCCUCACGCCAUAAGAUUAGCCCAAGUGGGAUUAGCUAGUUGGUGAGGUAAUGGCUCACCAAGGCGACGAUCCCUAGCUGGUUUGAGAGGAUGAUCAGCCACACUGGGACUGAGACACGGCCCAGACUCCUACGGGAGGCAGCAGUGGGGAAUAUUGCACAAUGGGCGCAAGCCUGAUGCAGCCAUGCCGCGUGUGUGAAGAAGGGCUUCGGGUUGUAAAGCACUUUCAGUAAGGAGGAAAGGUUAAGUGUUAAUAGCACUUAGCUGUGACGUUACUUACAGAAGAAGCACCGGCUAACUCCGUGCCAGCAGCCGCGGUAAUACGGAGGGUGCGAGCGUUAAUCGGAAUUACUACGCGUAAA